rnacentral:rRNA from 1 species
UACGUAGGGCGCAAGCGUUUGUCCGGAAUUAUUGGGCGUAAAGAGCUCGUAGGCGGCCAGUUGCGUCUGCUGUGAAAUCCCGGGGCUCAACCCCGGGCGUGCAGUGGAUACGGGCUGGCUAGAGGCAGGCAGGGGAGAACGGAAUUCCCGGUGUAGCGGUGAAAUGCGCAGAUAUCGGGAGGAACACCGGUGGCGAAGGCGGUUCUCUGGGCCUGUACUGACGCUGAGGAGCGAAAGCGUGGGGAGCGAACAGG